GUCUAUGGUCAUACCAACCCUGAACACACCCAAUCUCACCUGAUCUCAUAAGCUAAGCAGAUUUGGGCCCAGUUAGUACUUGGAUGGGAGACUACCUGAGAAUAGCAGGUGCUGUAUGUA
rnacentral:rRNA from 1 species